rnacentral:misc_RNA from 1 species
GAAAUGCGAUAAGUAAUGUGAAUUGCAGAAUUCAGUGAAUCAUCGAAUCUUUGAACGCACCUUGCGCUCCUUGGUAUUCCUUGGAGCAUGCCUGUUUGAGUAUCAUGAAAUCUUCAAAGUAAAUCUUUUGUUAACUCAAUUGGCUUCUACUUUGGUAUUGGAGGUCUUUGCAGCUUCACACCUGCUCCUCUUUGUUCAUUAGCUGGAUCUCAGUGUUAUGCUUGGUUCCACUCGGCGUGAUAAGUUAUCUAUCGCUGAGGACACUGUAAAAGGUGGCCAAGGUAAAUGCAGAUGAACCGCUUCUAAUAGUCCAUUGACUUGAACAAUACUUUUAUGAUCUGAUCUCAAAUCAGGUAGGACUACCCGCUGAACUUAAGC